rnacentral:rRNA from 1 species
GGACUACAAGGGUAUCUAAUCCUGUUUGCUCCCCACGCUUUCGCGCCUCAGUGUCAGUAUCAGUCCAGAAAGUCGCCUUCGCCACUGAUGUUCCUUCCGAUAUCUACGCAUUUCACCGCUACACCGGAAAUUCCACUUCCCUCUACCGUACUCUAGAUAACCAGUAUUGGAUGACAUUCCUAGGUUAAGCCCAGGGCUUUUACAUCCAACUUAAUUACCCACCUACGCGCUCUUUACGCCCAGUAAUUCCGAUUAACGCUCGCACCCUCUGUAUUACCGCGGCUGCUGGCAC